GACGAACGCUGGCGGCGUGCUUAACACAUGCAAGUCGAACGGAAAGGCCCCUUUGGGGGUCCUCGAGUGGCGAACGGGGGAGUAACACGUGAGUAACCUGCCCUUGACUUCGGGAUAACUUCAGGAAACUGGGGCUAAUACCGGAUAGGAAUCCUUGCUGCAUGGUGGGGGUUGGAAAGCUUCGGCGGUUUUGGAUGGACUCGCGGCUUAUCAGCUUGUUGGUGGGGUAGUGGCUUACCAAGGCUUUGACGGGUAGCCGGCCUGAGAGGGCGACCGGCCACACUGGGACUGAGAUACGGCCCAGACGCCGACGGGAGGCAGCAGGGGGGAAUAUUGCUCCAGGGGCGGAAGCCGGAUGCAGCAACGCCGCGGGCGGGAUGACGGCCUUCGGGUUGUAAACCGCUUUCAGCAGGGGCGAAGCUUGUGGUGACGGUACCUGCAGAAGAAGCACCGGCUAACUACGUG
rnacentral:rRNA from 1 species